CCCUUAGAUGUUCUGGGCUGCACGCGCGCUACACUGGUGCGUUCAGCGAGUUUAGCACCUUAACAGAUAUGUUUGGGUAAUCUUCUGAAAACGCACCGUGAUGGGGAUCGAUUAUUGUAAUUAUUAAUCGUCAACGAGGAAUUCCUAGUAAGUGUGAAUCAUCAGUUCGCGCUGAUUACGUCCCUGCCCUUUGUACACACCGCCCGUCGCUGCUACCGAUUGAGUGGUCCGGUGAAUUAUUCGGACCGGUGGACUGUGGGGAAACCCGCGGCCUGCUGGGGAGUCUUGUGAACCUUAUCACUUAGAGGAAGCAGAAGUCGUAACA
rnacentral:rRNA from 1 species